rnacentral:rRNA from 1 species
UCCGGUUGAUCCUGCCGGACCCCACUGCUAUCGGGAUAGGACUAAGACAUGCUAGUCGAGCGCCUCCCAGCCACGACGGAGGCGCGGCGCACAGCUCAGUAGCACGUGGCUAACCUGCCCUUGGGACGGGAACAACCCCGGGAAACUGGGGCUAAUUCCCGAUAGGUGAAGAACUCUGGAAUGAGUCUCCGCCCAAAAGACGCUUACGUCAUGCUCGUAGGCGCCGCCCAAGGAUGGGGCCGCGGCCGAUCAGGUUGUUGGUGAGGUAACGGCUCACCAAGCCUAUAACCGGUGCGGGCCGUGGGAGCGGGAGCCCGGAGAUGGGCACUGAGACAAGGGCCCAGGCCCUACGGGGCGCAGCAGUCGCGAAAACUUUGCAAUAAGCGAAAGCUUGACAGGGCUAUCCCGAGUGCCGUCCGCUGAGGAUGGCUUUUACCCAGUCUAGAAAGCUGGGGGAAUAAGGAGAGGGCAAGUCUGGUGUCAGCCGCCGCGGUAAUACCAGCUCUCCGAGUGGUGUGGAUGUUUAUUGGGCCUAAAGCAUCCGUAGCUGGCUGUUCAAGUCCCUUGUUAAACCCAGCGAUUUAAUAGUUGGUUUGCGGGGGAUACUGUUCGGCUAGGGGGCGGGAGAGGCAGACGGUAUUUCCGGGGUAGGGGUGAAAUCCUAUAAUCCCGGGAAGACCACCAGUGGCGAAGGCUGUCUGCUAGAACGCGCCCGACGGUGAGGGAUGAAAGCUGGGGGAGCGAACCGGAUUAGAUACCCGGGUAGUCCCAGCUGUAAACUAUGCAGGCUAGGUGUUUGGGCGGCCACGUGCCGCUCUAGUGCCGCAGGGAAGCUGUUAAGCCUGCCGCCUGGGGAGUACGGCCGCAAGGCUGAAACUUAAAGGAACUGGCGGGGGAGCACCACAAGGGGUGAAGCUUGCGGUUUAAUUGGAGUCAACGCCGGAAAUCUCACCGGGAGCGACAGCAGGUUGAAAGCCAGAUUGAAGGUCUUGCUGGACGAGCUGAGAGGUGGUGCAUGGCC